GUGAAGACCUUGCCCUCCACCAUGAUUGUAAGUUUCUUGAAGCCUCCUCCUCAGAAGAAGCCUACACAGCCUGCAGAACUGUGAGGUAUACAUGGCAAGCAGAGGCCAGAUUAUAUACACUACCUUAAAGAUUAUGGUCUUUAUCCUCAGUGCAACAAAAUAAAGUCAUUGAAGAGUUUUAAGUAGAGGACUGACAUGAUGACAUGAUGGAGGGGCAGCCUCUAGAAGCUGAGAGUGGCCCCUGGCUGACUGCUGGCAAGGGUACCUCAAUCCUACAACUACAAGGAACUAAAUUCUGCCAACAGCUUGGAUAAGCUUGGAAGAAGAUUUUUCCACAGAUCCUUCAGAUAAGAGUUAGGUUCAGCUUUCUGAAGAAUUUGAGAAUCCAUCAUUGCACUGGAAAAUGGAAGAAAAAGUAGACUUCAAAGGACCUUGCCCACAAAAGACACCAGAAUG